rnacentral:rRNA from 1 species
UACGUAGGGCGCAAGCGUUGUCCGGAAUUAUUGGGCGUAAAGAGCUCGUAGGCGGCUUGUCGCGUCGAAUGUGAAAACCCGAGGCUCAACUUCGGGCUUGCAUUCGAUACGGGCAGGCUAGAGUUCGGUAGGGGAGACUGGAAUUCCUGGUGUAGCGGUGAAAUGCGCAGAUAUCAGGAGGAACACCGGUGGCGAAGGCGGGUCUCUGGGCAAUAACUGACGCUGAGGAGCGAAAGCGUGGGGAGCGAACAGG